GCGUCUGUAGCCUAGUUGGUAAAGGCAGCACUCUGGUACUAUGCUGAGCUCAUGGGUUCGACUCCCAUCAGACACA
rnacentral:tRNA from 1 species